rnacentral:rRNA from 1 species
GAGUAAUGUCUGGGAAACUGCCUGAUGGAGGGGGAUAACUACUGGAAACGGUAGCUAAUACCGCAUAAUGUCGCAGGACCAAAGAGGGGGACCUUCGGGCCUCUUGCCAUCAGAUGUGCCCAGAUGGGAUUAGCUUGUUGGUGAGGUAACGGCUCACCAAGGCGACGAUCCCUAGCUGGUCUGAGAGGAUGACCAGCCACACUGGAACUGAGACACGGUCCAGACUCCUACGGGAGGCAGCAGUGGGGAAUAUUGCACAAUGGGCGCAAGCCUGAUGCAGCCAUGCCGCGUGUAUGAAGAAGGCCUUCGGGUUGUAAAGUACUUUCAGCGGGGAGGAAGGGGAUAAGGCUAAUAACCUUGUUCAUUGACGUUACCCGCAGAAGAAGCACCGGCUAACUCCGUGCCAGCAGCCGCGGUAAUACGGAGGGUGCAAGCGUUAAUCGGAAUUACUGGGCGUAAAGCGCACGCAGGCGGUCUGUCAAGUCGGAUGUGAAAUCCCCGGGCUCAACCUGGGAAC